GUAGGUGAACCUGCGGAAGGAUCAUUGUCGAAACCUGCCCAGCAGAACGACCAGCGAACAUGUUUAUACCAUGCAUGGGGAGGGGUUGCUGGCUUGCCCAGUCCCUCCCCUAUGUUGGGGGGCACUCCUCCGGGGGUGCUUCCUGGCACAAUAACUAACCCCGGCGCGUUAUGCGUCAAGGAACAUAAAUACGAGUGUGCCUAUCUUAUGCACGGGUAACCGGGGCAUGGGUAUGGCAACCAAUCUAAGUCAUAAAACGACUCUCGGCAACGGAUAUCUCGGCUCUCGCAUCGAUGAAGAACGUAGCGAAAUGCGAUACUUGGUGUGAAUUGCAGAAUCCCGUGAACCAUCGAGUUUUUGAACGCAAGUUGCGCCCGAAGCCUUCUGGCUAGGGCACGUCUGCCUGGGCGUCACGCAUAGCAUCUCCCCCACCCCACCAAGCAUGGGGAGGGAGAGGAUGAUGGCCUCCCAUGCCUCACCUGGCGUGGAUGGCCUAAAUAAGGAGCCCACGGUUACUUGUUUCCGCGGCGUUUGGUGGGUAUACAAGGCAUUUGCCUGGAAAGCAUCGCGUCGUGCAACAAGUAGCUUAUGUGUGUUUGCAGGACCCUUACAAACCUUUGCGACCCCAGGUCAGGCGGGGUUACCCGCUGAGUUUAAGCAUA
rnacentral:sRNA from 1 species